GGACACCAGCCCCCCACAGAUGGCACCCCAGGGGUCACACCAGUCCUUCUGUUUUUACAUCAGCAGAUAACAGGCUUUUACUGUGGAGACUUUUGGGGCCCUGGACACCUUUGUGAACCUGGCCUGGAGCAGAAGCUGGAGCCUGGGCCUUGGCUGGAGCCCAGGCCUUUGGCCGGCAAGAUUUUCAACUCUUUGAAGGAUAACUACUCAUCAUUUGGCAGUGGAAGACUGGAUCAAAGUGCCUGGCACCUACUAGGCUCCUGGCGGAGACCUGUGUAACAACUGAGCGUUGAAGCUCAGGAACUUGACUGAGGCUCCUUGGGCCUCUCAGAGGACGUGGCUUGAAGAAGUAUACAGCUCCUGUGAGGCAGCCACCCUCACUGCAUGAAGCAGGAUCCUUUUUCUGAAGAGAGAAGACUGGCUUCAGGUUUUGAGGUCCUUUGAGUUUCCUGUUCUCAAACCGUGUGGCCUCAGGUGAAGCCAGGUCAGAGGAAAGGUAAUUUCCCACAAGUCCUGCAACUAGCGGCAGACCUGCUCAGAUAUGAUGGCCCUUGGGGUCAGACCUGACCCCAAGCUGUGUAGACAAGAGUCAGCUGAAGGGGACUGUGUGGGUCUUAUGAGAAUGGUCAUGCUUCCGUAAAACAUCAUCCAGCACAUCCGUAUAUGCCCAGCGCCAUAGAUGUGGUUUCUACAGAAAGGAGAAAAUGUACAAAACAGACAUACAUUUAUGUGUAUGAGAGAAACAUGCAUUCAUUUAAGAAAUAAUUCCUUACAUACCUUGAGAAUACUUCA